rnacentral:rRNA from 1 species
UACGUAGGGUGCAAGCGUUUGUCCGGAAUUAUUGGGCGUAAAGAGCUCGUAGGCGGUCUGUCGCGUCUGCUGUGAAAACUCAGGGCUUAACCCUGAGCUUGCAGUGGGUACGGGCAGACUAGAGUGCGGUAGGGGAGACUGGAAUUCCUGGUGUAGCGGUGAAAUGCGCAGAUAUCAGGAGGAACACCGGUGGCGAAGGCGGGUCUCUGGGCCGUAACUGACGCUGGAGGAAGCGAAAGCUACGGGGAGCAAACAGG